UUUUUUUUUUUUUUUGAACAAAAACAAACCGAAAGGGUGGCUGGGAUUUGUAGUCCUCACCGGCUCCCUGGCCUACUCCUCUCCGGAAGAAAAUGGCUGCCUGAAGUGCUUGGACCACAUUUCCCGGAGUGCCCCGGGCCCCUGUUUUCCGCCCACUUUCUUCCGUACCCCGCUGAGCUCCAAGCUCGGUGACCUUUGAAAGUUAUCAGGGGUGCCAUGGGCUGAGUAAGAAAACCGGAACUGCAGUUCAACUCCGCCCAGCUUGGGGAUGAGUCACUGUUUUCAAAUUCAUGAACAAAGCACACAAAUUCAGACUAAUACAAGCAAGAAGCAGCAGAGAGACACAAAGGGCCACAGCAUCCCUGACCCUCACUGUAGUCUAGUAACACCAGUUCUAGGGCUGCAGAGAUGCUCAGGGCUCAGAAGCACUAAGUGCUCUUACAGAGAACAUGAGUUCAAUUCCCAGAACCCACAUGGUACCUCACAACUGUCUAUUUCAUACAUGUGGUGUACAGACACACAAGCAGGCAGAACACCAAUACACAUACUUUUUUUUUAGAAUUGAAAAAAAAAAUUGGUUCUGGACUCCAGUGGGUCUGAAUUUGAAACUCUGUAGCUUUUCUCCAGUUGUGUGGCCUUGAAUAAGUUAUGAAACUUUAUCAACCAAGCACUGUCAUUGGACAGCAGAGACGAUGACAAAAUUCAAUGGUGAUCUGAAGAGGGUGGUAGAUGCUUGCAUACUUGGGAGGAUGAGGCAGGAGAAGCACUUGAACCCUGAAGUUUACAAACAGCCCGUAUAACACAGGAAGACCCCAUCUCAGAAGAAUAGAUGAGAUCACAUUUCUCAGCUUCAGCACUGCAGAGGAUCAGCUAAUGUGGAGCUCUCCAGCCCUUUGCACAUUGCAUUUCUUUGCAUGGCUUUUGGUUGGUAACUACACAUUUGGCAUCUGUUUGGAUUUUUUUUCUGUAUCCCCCAAAUGCCAGCCAUAGUCUUUGGCAUAUAGUAGGCAGUCAAACUGUUGGUGUAUGAGCCAUUCUCAGGAAUUCUUUUGUUGUAGAAAGUCUCUGAGGAAUUAUCCCCUAUUGAAUGGUCUCAUAACAGUUUUUGGAAAGUGCUCACAUGGGGAAAAACCUAAGAUAAGAUUUUACCCAGGAAGAUCUCCACAAGUGCAAAGUAGAGACUCCAGGGCGUUCCCAGUCUCAUCGUGUUGCCAAAUCUACGCACACAGUGCAUGACUUAACUCAUGGGCCAGUCAGUCUUUUAAAUUCUACUCUUCAGUCUCCCAUGCUCUGGAGAAGGUAUUUAAAUUGCCAAAAUGUUUACAGUAGUUAUCUCUAGGUUUUAUAAGACCAGGAGGUUUACUGGUAAUUUUUGCAUACAAAAAAUUGCAUUAUUUUAACUUUAAAAGGUUUUACUUCAAAAACAAAACAUUUAAAUUAAAGUGGCAGUUAUGAUAAUAGUGAUAUCAUAGUAAAUAUAUUUUUCUGUCACAUCUUCCAAAUCUAGAAUGUGUGCUCCAUUAUGAUGUAAAUGUAAAGUUUCAUUAAUAUCAGACAACAGUGGAGGAACAUCUUUAAUAAUAA
ensembl:processed_transcript